rnacentral:rRNA from 1 species
UACGAAGGGGGCUAGCGUUGUUCGGAAUCACUGGGCGUAAAGCGCACGUAGGCGGCUAUUCAAGUCAGAGGUGAAAGCCCGGGGCUCAACCCCGGAACUGCCUUUGAAACUAGAUAGCUAGAAUCUUGGAGAGGUCAGUGGAAUUCCGAGUGUAGAGGUGAAAUUCGUAGAUAUUCGGAAGAACACCAGUGGCGAAGGCGACUGACUGGACAAGUAUUGACGCUGAGGUGCGAAAGCGUGGGGAGCAAACAGG